rnacentral:rRNA from 1 species
GAUCUCUAGGUUCUCGCAUCGAUGAAGAACGCAGCGAAAUGCGAUACGUAGUACGAAACGCAAGUCGUGAAUCAUCGAAUCUUUGAACGCACAUUGCGCUGUGUGGCAUUCCGCACAGCAUGCCUGUUUGAGCAAUAUUUCUCUCUCGCAAGGUGUUGGGCACCACGCCGGCAGGCGUCUGCCCGAAACGCGACCGUCUAAAACAGUUAAGCUUGUUACAGACUCACGAUCUUAUUCUCAAAUCAGGUAGGACUACCCGCUGAACUUAAGCAUAUCAAUAAGCGGAGGAAAAGAAACCAACCGGGAUUGCCUCAGUAACGGCGAGUGAAGCGGCAACAGCUCAAAUUUGAAAGCCCGCGGGCGUUGUAAUUUGCAGGCGGAUGUUUUGGGGCGGGCGCUGUCUACGUUCCUUGGAACAGGACGCCGCAGAGGGUGAGAGCCCCGUGCGAUGGCGCCUCCAACCGCGUAAAACUCCGCCGACGAGUCGAGUUGUUUGGGAAUGCAGCUCCAAGUGGGUGGUAAAUUCCAUCUAAAGCUAAAUACUGGCGAGAGACCGAUAGCGAACAAGUACAGUGAUGGAAAGAUGAAAAGCACUUUGAAAAGAGAGUGAAACAGCACGUGAAAUUGUUGAAAGGGAAGGGUAUGCGAUUAGCGGCCAGCAGGAGGUGCCUUCUCGUGAAAAGGCCGUGCACCGUCUUCGGACACCGUGCGCGGAGAUGGCGAGGGGGCGCCUGAGGUCUGCGACUCGAGGUUGCUGGCGUAAUGAUUGCAUACCACCCGUCUUGAAACACGGACCAAGGAGUCUAACGUCUAUGCGAGUAUGUGGGUGUCAAACCCGCGUGCGGAAUGAAAGUGACACGGUUGGAGCCGCAAGGCGCACAAUCGACCGAACCUGAUGUUCUCGGAUGGUUUUGAGUAAGAGCAUAGCUGUUGGGACCCGAAAGAU